UACGUAGGGGGGCAAGCGUUGUCCGGAAUCAUUGGGCGUAAAGAGCGUGUAGGCGGCCCGAUAAGUCCGCUGUGAAAGUCCAGGGCUCAACCCUGGAAUGCCGGUGGAUACUGUCGGGCUCGAAUCCGGAAGAGGUGAGUGGAAUUCCUGGUGUAGCGGUGAAAUGCGCAGAUAUCAGGAGGAACACCAGUGGCGAAGGCAGGUCU
rnacentral:rRNA from 1 species